GUGGCUCAGUGAUAGAGCACUUGCCUCACAAGUAUGAGGCACUGGGUUCAAUCCUAGC
rnacentral:tRNA from 1 species